rnacentral:rRNA from 1 species
GACGAACUGUGCAAACGUUAUUCGGAAUCACUGGGCUUGAAGAGUGCGUAGGCGGUUUCGUAAGUAGGGUGUGAAAGCCCCCAGCUCAACUGGGGAACUGCGUCCUAAACUGCGAGGCUGGAGUGAGGUAGGGUGUGCGGGAACUUCCGGUGGAGGCGGUGAAAUGUGUUGAUAUCGGAAGGAACGCCGGUGGCGAAAGCGGCACACUGGACCUUGUCUGACGCUGAGGCACGAAAGCCAGGGAGCAAACGGG